UACGAAGGGGGCUAGCGUUGUUCGGAUUUACUGGGCGUAAAGCGCACGUAGGCGGAGAUUUAAGUCAGGGGUGAAAUCCCGGGGCUCAACCCCGGAACUGCCUUUGAUACUGGGUAUCUUUGAGUCCGGAAGAGGUGAGUGGAAUUCCGAGUGUAGAGGUGAAAUUCGUAGAUAUUCGGAGGAACACCAGUGGCGAAGGCGGCUCACUGGUCCGGUACUGACGCUGAGGUGCGAAAGCGUGGGGAGCAAACAGG
rnacentral:rRNA from 1 species